AAACUGAAGAGUUUGAUCAUGGCUCAGAUUGAACGCUGGCGGCAGGCUUAACACAUGCAAGUCGAGCGGAAACGAAGAUAGCUUGCUAUCAGGCGUCGAGCGGCGGACGGGUGAGUAACGCGUAGGAAUCUACCUAGUAGUGGGGGAUAGCCCAGAGAAAUUUGGAUUAAUACCGCAUACGCCCUACGGGGGAAAGGAGGGGAUCUGUUUACAGACCUUUCGCUAUUAGAGUGAGAUAGCUAGUUGGUGGGGUAAAGGCUCACCAAGGCGACGAUCUCUAGCUGGUCUGAGAGGAUGAUCAGCCACACUGGGACUGAGACACGGCCCAGACUCCUACGGGAGGCAGCAGUGGGGAAUAUUGGACAAUGGGCGCAAGCCUGAUCCAGCCAUGCCGCGUGUGUGAAGAAGGCCUUCGGGUUGUAAAGCACUUUCAGCGAGGAGGAAAGGUUGCCGCUUAAUACGCGGUAGCUGUGACGUUACUCGCAGAAGAAGGACCGGCUAACUCCGUGCCAGCAGCCGCGGUAAUACGGAGGGUCCAAGCGUUAAUCGGAAUUACUGGGCGUAAAGCGCGCGUAGGCGGCUUGAUCAGUCAACUGUGAAAGCCCUGGGCUCAACCUGGGAGCUGCAUUUCGAACUGGCUGGCUAGAGUACGGUAGAGGUGAGUGGAAUUUCCUGUGUAGCGGUGAAAUGCGUAGAUAUAGGAAGGAACAUCAGUGGCGAAGGCGACUCACUGGACUGAUACUGACACUGAGGUGCGAAAGCGUGGGUAGCGAACAGGAUUAGAUACCCUGGUAGUCCACGCCGUAAACGAUGUCAACUAGCCGUUGGGGAACUUGAUUCCUUAGUGGCGCAGCUAACGCGAUAAGUUGACCGCCUGGGGAGUACGGUCGCAAGAUUAAAACUCAAAUGAAUUGACGGGGGCCCGCACAAGCGGUGGAGCAUGUGGUUUAAUUCGAAGCAACGCGAAGAACCUUACCUACUCUUGACAUCCAGAGAAUUUGCUAGAGAUAGCUUAGUGCCUUCGGGAACUCUGAGACAGGUGCUGCAUGGCUGUCGUCAGCUCGUGUUGUGAAAUGUUGGGUUAAGUCCCGUAACGAGCGCAACCCUUGUCCUUAGUUACCAUCAUUUAGUUGGGUACUUUAAGGAGACUGCCGGUGACAAACCGGAGGAAGGCGGGGACGACGUCAAGUCAUCAUGGCCCUUACGAGUAGGGCUACACACGUGCUACAAUGGCCAGUACAAACGGUUGCAAUCCUGCGAGGGGGAGCUAAUCUGAGAAAGCUGGUCGUAGUCCGGAUCGGAGUCUGCAACUCGACUCCGUGAAGUCGGAAUCGCUAGUAAUCGUGAAUCAGAAUGUCACGGUGAAUACGUUCCCGGGCCUUGUACACACCGCCCGUCACACCAUGGGAGUGGGUUGCUCCAGAAGUAAAUAGCUUAACCUUCGGGAGGGCGUUUACCACGGAGUGAUUCAUGACUGGGGUGAAGUCGUAACAAGGUAGCCCUAGGGGAACCUGGGGCUGGAUCACCUCCUUA
rnacentral:rRNA from 1 species